AGGGAAAUUUUUUAUUAAGAUAUUUUAUUUUCCUAAUUAUAUGUAAUAAGGAAUUUCAACAUACAAUUUCCAAAACUAUAAGAUCUAAAUUGCCUCUCUCUCCUUUCCCUCCUCUUGGAGAGGAUAAGUAAUUAGAUCUGGGUUAUACAUGUAUCAUCAUGUAAACCAUUUCUAUAUUAGCCAUUGUUAAAAGAUAAAACUCACAUAAAACCAACCCCCCAAAUAAAAACAUAAAUAACCUAAUGUGAAAAAUUGUAUGCUUUGAUCUGCAUUCCAACUCUAGCAGUUAUUUCUCUGGAGGCGAAUAACAUUCUUUGUAUAAGUCCUUCAGAGUUGUCCUAGAUGAUUGUGUUGUUGAGAGGAGCUAAGUCUUUCACAGUUGGUCUUCAUAUAAUAUUGCUGUUACCGUGCACAAUGUUCUCCUCAUUCUACCUAUUUCAUUCUGCAUCGGUUCAUGCUGGUCUUUUCAGCUCUUUCUGGAAUCAUCCUGGUCAUCAUUUCUUAUAGCACAAUAGUAUUCCAUCACAACCUUAUACCACAAUUUGUUGGGCUGGGAUUCCUCAAUUGAUGGGCAUCUCCUCAGUUUCCAGUUCUGUGCCACCACAAAAAGAUCUGCUACAAAUAUUUUUGUACAAAUAGGUCUUUCCCCUUUUAAAAUAUUUUCUUUGUGAUAUCAGGGUCAAAGGGUAUGCACAGUUUUAUAGCCCUUUGGGUAUAGUUCCAAAUUACACUUCAGAAUAUUUGGAUCAAUCAGGGACAUUUUUGAGGAAAUAACUUGAGAACUGGGCUCAGAAGCAGAGACAAGAGUCAGUCUGUUCGAGAUAAUCUCAAGGAAAAGAUAAUGCUCAUCUUAAGUCAAUUGGUCUCUCUAGAAGGGCAUGCUGGGAUUGAAUGGUCCUUUCACAACUGGGCAAACAAAAGAGGAACCAUCCAAGCUAGUUUGGUAGAAGGAUGAAGUAUAAACCCAAGAGCCUAGAAAGGGUAGAAGGGGAAGGUCUCUGGGGCAACAGAGUCUCAGGCAGAAAAGUGUUCUGUCAUGGAAACCCUCAAAAGUGUCUUCACAACUGCUUCUCCUAUUUCUCCUGACACUUCCACUGAAAAUAACCCAGUUCACUAUCUUACCCUGAAAUGUCUAUGUUUCAUAAUUAACUUUUUUUCUAGAUGUUAAUGAGUUUAAUGUUCCUGUUAACUACAUAUUUAAUUUAGGUUGCUGCAUUAGUAAUGCCCCAGACACUACAAAACAUACCUGUUAUUCAACAAAUUAAGUUGGCAUGAAUGCUCACUGGAACCCUUGCAUCUCUUCCUAUACUCUGUACUUUCAUACAGCAGCAUUAUUAUUGGACAGAGGACUAGCAGAAAGUAGAGAGCAUGAAUUACCUUACCUGCUAAAGAUGUAGUAUCCAUGCCAGCUGCCUAAGAAAGAAGCAAUAACUGAGUGGAAUACAUUCUUUUAUUAAAUUUUUUCUUUUACUUUCAAUGGAGAUAAAUUGGUUUCUUUUAAGCAUUGUCUGAUUUCUUUCCAUUCAAUUAGGAAUGACUUAUUCAACAUCAAAUGCUUGCCAGGUUCAAGAUGUCAGUCUGGGUCAUUCCCAGGGCUGUGUUGGGUUCUGCCCAAUUCCAACUUGAAUAAUUUCAAUGAUUCACAGUCUCGGACCCCUCUUCUCAUCCUCACUUAUCACAAGCUUCCCAAUUUAGUCAGCUUCAUCUUUCUUACCUACUUUCAAACCAACUAUUUCUUUCAUUCUCUUUCACAUCUUUAAGAUUUUGGUCUAUUCUCCUCUUUCUUCCAACUAGACAUUUUCCCUCUUGUGUGUCUCUGUUUCCCUUCCUCCUCAACAAUUCAGUUCAGUUCAGUUCAAUUCAUUAACCAUUUAUUAAAUGUUUUCUUUGUUCAGAUCUAGUCUAGGCUCCUGGAAUGAUGCAAAGUUUAGCUAAGAGAUGUUCUAGACUUCAUGAAGCUUUUUAUUCUUUAUUCUAAAAGCAUAAUAGGACAUGAACACAGAUAAUUAUAGAGUUAACAGGAGAGUUAUAAUAUUACAAUAUGACAAUAAUGAGGGAGAUGAAAACAAAGUACUUUGGAGAAAAAUUCAUUACCAAUGGGAGGAUCCAUUCUUCUUCCCCCUGGAAAUUCAGAAUGAUCAAAUCCAUGAUUCCAGAACCUGACAUCAGAAUUAUGCUAUGCUCUAAUUGCCUAGCCUAGGGGAGUAUUCAUUUAUGAUGGAAGUAGUAGGUAAGGAGUAUUAUUGAGAGUUGAGACUUGUGGAAGGAAGAAAAGAGUACAUUCCUCUUUGCUCAUAGGAUAACCAGAUAUGAGAAGUACAGCAAAAACACUGGACUCAGAAUCAGAAGACCUUGUUUAUAGCUUUGACACUGACUAGUCAUUUCAAUUGGAGCAAAUCUCCUAAACUCUCUGGGCCUCAGAUUUCCCAUUUAUGAAAUCGGAAUGAUACUCAUUCUGCCAAUGUAGUAGGAUUAUUGUAAAAAUCAAAUAAGAGAAUGCAUAUGAAAGUGUCAAUCUUUAUUUAAUGUAAAUCUCAAUUGUUGUUAAGGUACAGGAGGAAGUUAUAUGCCUAUAGGGUGGUCGAAAAUUAUAGGCUAUGUAAAACACAGGGUAUAGAAUGUUACAGCUGGAAAGAAAUUAGAUCUGAUCUAAUCCAAACUCAUCAUUUUACAGAUAAGGCAACUGAAGGCCAUAGAGGUUGAAUCACUUUCUGAGGUCACAUUGCUAAUUAGUGACAGAACCAAGACAUGAGCUCAGUCCCAUAUUCCUUCCAUUUCCAAUGUUUAUUCAAAGACCAGUGCUUUUUUCCCACUGUGCCAAAUAACCAUCAAGUUCAUACAACCCUGUUCUCCAGAAGCUUAUACUUUUCUUGAGGGAAAAAAUGUUCAAAAAGAGAAGAGGGAAAAGAAAGAAAAGAAUCAAGGAUGGCACAAAGCAUGUUAUAUUUGAGAAAGAAGAUUGGAAUUUAUAUCUGGGUUCUGAUAAUUAUUAUAUCUAUGUCUGCAGACAAAUUACUUAACUUCCUGGUCCUCAGUUCUUCUUGAUUUGGAUCAAAUGAUCUGUAAAGUUCCCUUUCACCUCAAAUCUAUGCUUUUAUGAUCACUACAAUCCCAGGAUACUUUAAUUAUGUGACCCUGAGUAUGUAUGAAAUAGUAUUUAAGAAUAUUUGGUGAAUGCUGGAUUAGUCAAUAAAAGUCUUCAGGAGAGGAGGCAGUGUGAUGUAAUAGAAAGAACACCGGUUCUAGAAUCAGAAAACCUGGAUUUUGUCUUUUAAUAGUAUUUAAUAAACGUUAAAGGAGGCACAGAAUUUGGAGCUUUUGCUGGUUUACUAAUAAGGCACAAAACUGUCAGUAAUAUGGGACAAAUAACUACCUCAGUUAGGACACAAGAUCCAGAAACACAUAAGAUUGUAAACCUAGAAUGAAGGACAGAACAGGGUAGGUGAGGAAAGUCAUAGAAUUGGUUAUAGGGUUGGCAGCAACAUGGGGAUGAGGACACCAUGAUUGGUUAUAUUAAUGAAAAUGAGCUAGCACUCACCAUGAUGCCAGUGACCAUCUCUCUGUAUCAGAGGAAUGCUUUAUUGAUUUGUGGCGCCCAUCUGCAUCCUAAGGCUAUUGAGAGUGGGCCAGGGAUAAGAGACUCCCUGGCUCCUAAAAGAGAGAUAAGAAUAUUUUUAAUUGGACAAUGAUGAGCAAAGAUGGCCAGUAUAUCUUGUGGAAAUAUAUCGUGUUAGCUGGUAGAUCUUCAGAGAUAACAUACAGAUGUCAAGGAGUUUUUCAGGAACUGAAGUUAUGAGAGAUAACUUUUCACUCACUCAGGGGGUAGCCGAACUCCUGUGUCUAAAAUGUUCGUUUGAAUCUAGCUACUAAUUUAGAGAUAGUAGACAGGACUCCCUGGUGUCCAACUACAUGCCUUAACAAUAGUAGAUUUCCUUGAACAAGAAUAGAACAGUGAUUAGUAAGAUAACUGGAUUUUAAAACUAAACUCAUUAUAGGUCAGCUGAAUUUCUGAACUACAUACAUCCAGAGACAAAGAAUUAUGACUUAGAUAUUUGCAGGACAAAAUCAAUUAAUCACAAAUAGGAUCAAUAAAAAAGGAUACGGAAUAAAUUUAACUUCCUCAGUUCAAAUCCUGCCUCUGACACUUGACUCUGUGCAUUGGAAAGGUUGUGUUCCCUCAUCUGUGAAAGUAAGGGAAUAAACUAGAUGGCUUCUAAGUUAUAAUCCUAUAAUAUGAAGGACUUAAACUGGUUUUUGAAGGAUGAAUAAGAGUUGAAAAAGGAAAGGAGGCAAGAGAGAUCACUGCAGGCAGAGGAAGAGACUUUUUUUUUUAACAAUAUUUUAUUUGGUCAUUUCACAACAUUAUUCAUUGGAGACAUGUCCCCUCAACCCCUGUAGUCAAGCAGUUGCUUUUCCUCAGUAUUUUUACUCCCACAGUUUGUCCUCUGCUUGUGGAUAGUGUUUUUUUAUCCUAGAUCCCUGCAGAUUGUUCAGGGACAUUGCCUGGACACUAAUGGAGAAGUCCAUUAUGUUCUAUUGUACCACAGUGUAUCAGUCUCUGUGUAUAAUGUUUUCCUGGUUCUGCUCCUUUCGCUCUGCAUCACUUCCUGGAGGUUGUUCCAGUCUCCAUAGAAUUCCUUCACUUUAUUAUUCCUUUUAGCACAAUAGUAUUCCAUCACCAACAUUGUGGUAUAUGUUGGUGAUGGAAGAGACUUUUAAGACACAAAAUAAGCAUGGUGUGUGCUAGACAGUGAGGAGACUGCAAAAGACAGAAGCAGGUUAAUUUUGGAGGAGCAAUAUGAGUUAAGUAAGAUGUAAGUAAUUCACCUGGGAUCAUAUUGUGGAAAGUCUCCAAAAAUAGACAGAAGAGUUUGACAUUAGUGCAAUAAGAUUUGGAGAACAUUCUUUAGGUGUAUCUGUGAAAUUCUUGAAAAGCUUGGGAGUAUCCACAAGAACAUUUCAAUAUAUUAUCAACUCUUAAAUGCCUGAAGUAUUUGAAAUGUCUUUAAAUUUAGUCUCAAUGAAAAUGUACAAAGACAAUCAUUAUCCUCGGUUACCGAGAGACUACUACUACUACUACUACUACUACUACUUAAUUUAGUAUCCACUGGCACACACUAGGAUUCAUAGUUCUGAUGAGUUUGAGACACCAACAGAAAACUUGGGUGAGGUGGAAAUAAGUGGUAGGAACAGAGGCCCAGGGUAUGAAUGACAGUGUGUAACUAUGAAUUGCUUCUUCUUCUCCUCCCUCUCCUACCUGGCAAGCCUUUCCUCCCUCCCAGUCCUAAGCAUGAUUAAACAUAUAUCAGCAGCAGUUUGUAUGUGAUACCCAUGUACUAACAAAUGACUAACUCUACUUAUUAUACACAAUUUGACAUAUAUUAUAUACAAUAACACACCUGUUAUUGAUGGGAGGAGGGGAACUGAAUCACAGAGUACUAAAGAUAGUGGGAUUAGACCACUUAGCUGACUAGCUUUCAACACAAAAUUCUGCCCCCAGUCCUAUUUCUUUAUUCCAUAACUUAUGAACAAGAGACAAUAUGUACCUUAGCACAGUGACUGAGAUGAACUGAGGCAAUUGAAGUCUUUUCUGCUUCCCUCACUUCCUAUACUCCUAUCCCUUGGGUAAGACUAGCCAAAGAUGGGAUAGAAAGAAGGGAAAGAGAUUCUUUUAGGAGCAGGAUUCCCUAGGGUCUCACCACCGUUUCAUCUUUACUCGAUGGGACUCAGGGAUAGAGGUGUGGGAGCUUUAGAACCUUCCAAAGUAAAGGUAGGCAUUUCUAGGAAAGAGCUAGGACAAUUUAACCUUGAAAGGGUUUGAAGUAGAUUUAUCUACUUAGAGACAUGAGAUGAAAAGGGGUCUUCACAAACUGGAAAGAGCCUUUCCAAUUGAACUCUUUUAGUGUCUAGGAAUAGAGGUAGGGUUUAGGAACCAUAGAGAGGACCAGUUUCUUCUCCUUUUGAUUGGAAUGAUUUGUGGUUUUCAUCUAGUUUUGUACCUUUAGCUAGAUGGUUGCCCCAGAACUUUUCUUCCCCCUCCCUGUCCUUUGCUGUCUUUCUCACUUAUGUCCCCAUAGCUAGCAGUAUAUCUAGCCUGAGUUGUAUCCAUUUCCCUCCAGUUUUAGUCUCUGGGCAGCCAGGGGCCUGAAGAAUGCAUGACAUCAAAGCAUAGAGGGAUGAGAGAGGUAGUAGGGUUGGGAAUGGGUAAGAUAUAGCAGAGAGCCCAUGGAAUCGUCCAGUACACCUUGGAGCCUGGAAGACUUGAAGUAGAGACAGACUCUUCUCCCUGGAGUAGCUGCCAAGGAAGUGAAGCAAGAUUCCUCAUCUUGAAGAAGAGACCAGGAGAAACUAUGGAAGUGUUCCAGAUGGCUGCUACCUAGGAGAAAAUCUCAGAUUUUGCUACCUGGACCUUAGAGGAUGAAGAUGGCAAAAACGAAGCUGGUGAUUUUUUGAGAAGUCCUUGAAUUGUUUGACAAGUGCAGUUCAGAUUCAUUUUCCCUAUGACCUCUUUUUGGAGCACCCCUUUCUCGAUGGCUUCAGUGUCUGGGACUUCUUUGCUCUCAGCUUCAUCACUCUCAACCUCAACUUUUAUGAAAAAGUUCUGACAAACAAGCAGGAAAUGCUGCUCUGAAAGAAAGAAUCUGAAGACCAAGAAGAACUACCUAAGAAGACAGAAGGCCAUUGGCAAGGGGUAUAACAUAGAACAUAAGAUUAAGACUCUCUGGGCAUAGGAAUUUAUAAAGAGACUUUAGAAGCAGUGUUCUUGAAUAGGACACUUCCUAGAGUUAAGGAAAGGGUUUGAGUAGGCUGUCCACUUUAUGCAAUUAUAGGUCAAGAUUUACUUAAGUCUCAAUCUUCUCACCCUAGGAGUCAAUAAAAUUAUUCCUAAGAAUGGAAUGUAAGAAGAGACUUAACCCCUUGACCUUUAAGUCUUUUCAGAGUUAAGUAAUUCAAACAGAACUGUUUGUCCCAUGAAAAUUUUUAAUUAAUUAAUCCAACAAAUCCUUUUAAAGUGUCUAAGUACACAAAGUACAAAGCCCAAUCCUAGGCUUCACAGAUUUAAAGACAUAGACAACAACAAAAACAAUCAUUGCCUCAAAUAAUCUUAUUUUCUAAUAGAAUGUUUGAGCUCUAGGGAACAUCAGCUUGGGCUAGAUUUCAACACUAGGGAAAGAGGUUUGGUUGGGGAGGGGUCUUCCUUAUUUAACAUUUGGGGGCACCUUUCUAAUGAGCUUUUGUGUUGUAGCUUUUGUGUGUGUGUGUGUGUGUGUGUGUGUGUGUGUGUGUGUGUGUGCGCCUGUGCAUGCCAUAUACCCCUGGUAGACUGUAAGCUCUAUGAGGGCAGAAACUAUAUUCCAUUUAAAACUUGGUAACUAUCCUAAAACCAAACACAGAUCUGAAAAUGAUACAUGCUUAAUAAAUACUUGUUCAAAAUAAUAA